UGAGGCUUGGUGUAAGAUGCACAUAGAUUUUUGAAUUCUAUAGUUUAAGUUUAAUUCUUAAAGUUUCAA
rnacentral:tRNA from 1 species